CGGGGCGUAGCGUAGUCUGGCUAGCGCGCUUGUUUCGGGUACAAGAGGUCGUGAGUUCAAAUCUCACCGCCCCGACCA
rnacentral:tRNA from 3 species